CUACAGUCAGAUAUAUCUGGACUAGGGGUUGUAGGGUGUCUUGCUACAGUCAGAUAUAUCUGGACUAGGGGUUGUAGGGAGUCUUGCUACAGUCAGAUAUAUCUGGACUAGGGGUUGUAGGGUGUCUUGCUACAGUCAGAUAUAUCUGGACUAGGGGUUGUAGAGUGUCUUGCUACAGUCAGAUAUAUCUGGACUAGGGGUUGUAGGGAGUCUUGCUACAGUCAGAUAUAUCUGGACUAGGGGUUGUAGGGAGUCUUGCUACAGUCAGAUAUAUCUGGACUAGGGGUUGUAGGGUAAAUGAGGGGCUGUACUGUAGAGGCAGAGAGGAGAGAGCCUUUCCAAGGUUAGUGUCCCCACCCCCACACUGCAGAUAGCAGUCUUUAACAGAUAAUGUAGGAAUGAAUUUGCCUCAUCGCCCAGAGAAACACAACAGAGCAUUCAAAGUAAUUAAACGAAAAAAGAUCACCUUGGAUCCAAAGAAGGUGAAUAGAUUUCAGGAUGGGGCAGAAUGAUACAAAGAUAAAAACAAUUGAAUAGCAAAGGUAUGGAGAAACAAUUAGAAGGAAAGCUAAUCAAACUCUCAGUGCUCUUUGGCAGAAGCUGUUGUCUUGGAAUGGGGUGCCCUUGCAUGUUGCUAUAACAAUGGAGCAGCAACAUCAUUCUCAGGCGGAGGUGUGUCUCUUCUGUUUUAUUCACCUUUUCUCAAGGAAAUGGUCGACGUCUCUCUCUCUCUCUCUCUCUCUCUCUCUCUCUCUCUCUCUCUUUCAAAGUGUUUCUCCUGAUGUCUGUUAUUCCUUCCUCCCCUGGUUCCCAACACUGGGGAGGCCUGUAAUUGGCCCACAAUGUUUCAUAUCAGUACAGUUCCCUGUAAAACAAUGUGAGAUUCUAGAUUCUAGACGUGUUUGAACUGUUGUUUGUUUCUUAACACCUGUUUCCCCCACCUGUAUCCCAAUGUAAAGGAUGCAAGAUGUCUCAUCAGAAAUGAUGCCAUCUGCCAAUACGUUUUAGAGCUGUUUAUGGAUGGUCUCAGCCAUCUCAGUCUUUUCCCCUCUCCCCUACUUGCCUAUUGUAUCCUUCACAAGGUGAUUACUGCUUCACCACAAUGCAUAGUGACGCAAAGGUCCUUCUCUUUGUCUCUCUCGCUGGUUUUGGAUUGGGUGCGUGUCUAUUGCUUCGGUGACUGUUCUGGCUUUUCUGCCUGUCUGCUUGACUUAGAGGGGCCCUGGUCAAAAGUAGUGCACUUUGUAGGGAAUAGUGCGCCAGACGAUGUCUCUGGUUUCUGCUACCUCAGCUUGCCUGGUGGAAGACUGUUGGGGAGGGUAUAUGGGGUGGGGUAGUAUAGGCUCAAGGGCUUUCUGUACAGAUUGACAAGAACGUUUGGUAUUUUGUUGGUUGCGAGUGACGUUACAGGGAUGAGGGUCAAUUGGGUAGUGAUGAACCGUCCAUAUGCUUGACUAUUGGAAAGGGGGUCGGGAAGCGGUGGUCGGGAAGAUGGGGGGGGGUAACCCCUUCGCUUGUAACAUUUCGGGGUUUCUAUGACAAACAAAAAACAUCACAUUUGUUUGUGAAUUUCCAGUUGAAGUUGAUAAUGCCUGCCGUGUUUCUAGCUUUCGAACCGUCCGUUUUGUUUCAACGCUGGUUUCUUUGACAACCACAAGCCUUCUGUAUUCUUCUGUAUUCUUUGGUUCUGGUUUGUCGUCGUCGUCGUGUGGAGAUACUAUCAGAUACUGCAGCAGUGUAUUAAAUGGGUUUGACUGAAGAGCAGCUCUGACUCAGGACCACAGAUCAACCAGAUGUCAGAGGGACAUCUGCCAGGUGUUUUAGUUCAGACUUCUAGAGCAGCUCUGACUCAGGACCACAGAUCAACCAGAUGUCAGAGGGACAUCUGCCAGGUGUUUUAGUUCAGACUUCUAGAGCAGCUCUGACUCAGGACCACAGAUCAACCAGAUGUCAGAGGGACAUCUGCCAGGUGUUUUAGUUCAGACUUCUAGAGCAGCUCUGACUCAGGACCACAGAUCAACCAGAUGUCAGAGGGACACCUUCCAGGUGUUUUAGUUCAGACUUCUAGAGCAGCUCUGACUCAGGACCACAGAUCAACCAGAUGU